rnacentral:rRNA from 1 species
CGUGCUUAAUACAUGCAAGUUGAGCGCUGAAGGUUGGUACUUGUACCAACUGGAUGAGCAGCGAACGGGUGAGUAACGCGUGGGGAAUCUGCCUUUGAGCGGGGGACAACAUUUGGAAACGAAUGCUAAUACCGCAUAAAAACUUUAAACACAAGUUUUAAGUUUGAAAGAUGCAAUUGCAUCACUCAAAGAUGAUCCCGCGUUGUAUUAGCUAGUUGGUGAGGUAAAGGCUCACCAAGGCGAUGAUACAUAGCCGACCUGAGAGGGUGAUCGGCCACAUUGGGACUGAGACACGGCCCAAACUCCUACGGGAGGCAGCAGUAGGGAAUCUUCGGCAAUGGACGAAAGUCUGACCGAGCAACGCCGCGUGAGUGAAGAAGGUUUUCGGAUCGUAAAACUCUGUUGGUAGAGAAGAACGUUGGUGAGAGUGGAAAGCUCAUCAAGUGACGGUAACUACCCAGAAAGGGACGGCUAACUACGUGCCAGCAGCCGCGGUAAUACGUAGGUCCCGAGCGUUGUCCGGAUUUAUUGGGCGUAAAGCGAGCGCAGGUGGUUUAUUAAGUCUGGUGUAAAAGGCAGUGGCUCAACCAUUGUAUGCAUUGGAAACUGGUAGACUUGAGUGCAGGAGAGGAGAGUGGAAUUCCAUGUGUAGCGGUGAAAUGCGUAGAUAUAUGGAGGAACACCGGUGGCGAAAGCGGCUCUCUGGCCUGUAACUGACACUGAGGCUCGAAAG